rfam:Anaerolineaceae bacterium 4572_78 ex4572_78_scaffold_239, whole genome shotgun sequence.
GUCAAUAACCCCUGAAUAGGAGUAGGUGCUUGUAGGAGUAAUCUUGCAGACUCUCCGAGUUGACCAGACUUAGUACUUGUAAAAGUGCUAAGUUAAAAGCUAUACAACACAGGUACGGCAGGGGGCUUCUCCAGCCUUGCCCGCUACGGUGUGAUGUGAAACAGAUGUACAGUUAAAUCAGUGCAUCACACAUUCAAACCUACGGACCAACAUUGUCGAGGAGAUAUUUAC